UGUAAAACUGGUUAUAUUUCACCUCAAAUCCAUCCUCAUUACCUGUGUAUAUUAGUUUUUCUUAGUUUUUGAAUUAUAUUUUAUUUAGAAGCUUUAAUUUUCUUGUUUCCCGUCUCCUCGUCAUAUCCUGUGUGUUCGCCCUCCUCAGUUCGCGCCAAGCUGCGCUGGGGAGAGGUGUGUGUGGGAAAGCCAGAGCCCAAGAACUGGAGUGCUGAUAUAUUCUUGUUUUAAACAGAAUAAACCUGCCCUACUGCUGCAAUACACCCCGGUGUCCUCGUCUGCUGGUUCCCUUUGCCUGUUACACACAACGCAGAGUUCAUACAGCAGAUGAGUCGGAUGAGAGCGGCUACACUUCAUCACGUCGUUGAAGGAAAGACCUGAAAACCUCGACCGCCCUGAACCGAAGGAGAGAGCAGGCGUCUCAUCACGGACGUAAAGUCCUGCAGGAGCCGGAACCAGCCGGGUCCAGACAGGAUCUGCACCAGCUCCAUCAGAGGUGGAUGGUUCAUGGGGUUUCAGGAUGAUAUUUUUAUAAUAUUGAGUGAAACUCAAAUAUUAAUAACCUUCAACCUGAGAGCAGCAGAGCACACGGUCGGCCAUCCAGAAACAACCCGAGGCGAAAAGAGCUGCGGAGGAAACACCUGGAGGCUUCCAGCCUCCUCCUCCAUCCA